GAGAAAGUGCGCGAGAACUGCUAAUUCAUGCUCCCAAGCCUAACAACUUGGCUUCCUCA
rnacentral:tRNA from 1 species